GUUGUAUGGUUAAGUGACUAAGCGUACACGGUGGAUGCCUUGGCAGUUGGAGGCGAUGAAGGACGUACUAACUUGCGAUAAGCCUAGUUGAGCCAGUAAGAGGCACUUGAGACUAGGAUUUCCGAAUGGGGAAACCCGGCCCUUUGGGUCAUCAUGCAGUGAAUACAUAGCUGUAUGAAGCGAACGCGGAGAACUGAAACAUCUAAGUACCCGUAGGAAAAGAAAUCAACCGAGAUUCCGAAAGUAGCGGCGAGCGAAAUCGGAUUAGCCCUUAAGCUUUAAUGUAGUUAGUGGAACAUUCUGGAAAGUAUGACGAUACAGGGUGACAGUCCCGUACACGACAACUUAUUUAAAGUGAAAUCGAGUAGGUCGGAGCACGUGAAACUUUGACUGAAUAUGGGGGGACCAUCCUCCAAGGCUAAAUACUCCCAACUGACCGAUAGUGAACCAGUACCGUGAGGGAAAGGCGAAAAGAACCCCUGUGAGGGGAGUGAAAUAGAACCUGAAACCGUGUACGUACAAGCAGUAGGAGCCCCUCGAGGGUGACUGCGUACCUUUUGUAUAAUGGGUCAGCGACUUAUAUUCUGUAGCAAGGUUAACCAUUUAGGGGAGCCGUAGCGAAAGCGAGUCUUAACUGGGCGCUUAAGUUGCAGGGUAUAGACCCGAAACCCGGUGAUCUAGCCAUGGGCAGGUUGAAGGUCAGGUAACACUGACUGGAGGACCGAACCCACUAACGUUGAAAAGUUAGGGGAUGACCUGUGGCUAGGAGUGAAAGGCUAAUCAAACCGGGAGAUAGCUGGUUCUCCCCGAAAUCUAUUUAGGUAGAGCCUCGGACGAAUACUUACGGGGGUAGAGCACUGUUAAGGCUAGGGGGUCAUCCCGACUUACCAACCCUUUGCAAACUCCGAAUACCGUAAAGUACUAUCCGGGAGACACACGGUGGGUGCUAACGUCCAUCGUGGAGAGGGAAACAACCCAGACCGUCAGCUAAGGUCCCAAAGUGUAUGUUAAGUGGGAAACGAUGUGGGAAGGCUAAAACAGCUAGGAGGUUGGCUUAGAAGCAGCCAUCCUUUAAAGAAAGCGUAAUAGCUCACUAGUCGAGUCGGCCUGCGCGGAAGAUGUAACGGGGCUAAACAUACCACCGAAGCUACGGCUGCGAACUUAGUUCGCGGGGUAGGGGAGCGUUCUGUAAGCGGCUGAAGGUGAACUGUAAGGUUUGCUGGACGUAUCAGAAGUGCGAAUGCUGACAUGAGUAACGAUAAUGCGGGUGAAAAACCCGCACGCCGGAAGACCAAGGGUUCCUAUCCCAUGUUAAUCAGGGUAGGGUGAGUCGACCCCUAAGGCGAGGCUGAAGAGCGUAGUCGAUGGGAAACGGGUUAAUAUUCCCGUACUUGGUAUAAAUGCGAUGGGGGGACGGAGCAGGCUAGGCAAGCAUGGCGUUGGUUGUCCAUGUGAAAGGCUGUAGGCUGGUGACUUAGGAAAAUCCGGGUCGCUAAGGCUGAGAGUCGAGACGAGCCACUACGGUGGUGAAGUUGUUGAUGCCCUACUUCCAGGAAAAGCCUCUAAGCUUCAGUUUAUAUCGAAUCGUACCCUAAACCGACACAGGUGGUCAGGUAGAGAAUACUAAGGCGCUUGAGAGAACUCGGGUGAAGGAACUAGGCAAAAUUGUACCGUAACUUCGGGAGAAGGUACGCUCUUACUUGUGAAGACUUCGCGUCGUAAGCAGGCGAGAGCCGCAGUGACCAGGUGGCUGGGACUGUUUAUUAAAAACACAGCACUGUGCAAAAUCGUAAGAUGACGUAUACGGUGUGACACCUGCCCGGUGCCGGAAGGUUAAUUGAUGGGGUUAGCUUAGGCGAAGCUCUUGAUCGAAGCCCCGGUAAACGGCGGCCGUAACUAUAACGGUCCUAAGGUAGCGAAAUUCCUUGUCGGGUAAGUUCCGACCUGCACGAAUGGUGUAACCAUGGCCACGCUGUCUCCACCCGAGACUCAGUGAAAUUGAAAUCGCAGUGAAGAUGCUGUGUACCCGCGGCUAGACGGAAAGACCCCGUGAACCUUUACUACAGCUUGGCACUGAACAUUGACCCUACAUGUGUAGGAUAGGUGGGAGGCUUUGAAGCGCAGUCGCUAGAUUGCGUGGAGCCGUCCUUGAAAUACCACCCUUGUAGUGUUGAUGUUCUAACUUAGGCCCCUAAUCGGGGUUGAGGACAGUGCCUGGUGGGUAGUUUGACUGGGGCGGUCUCCUCCCAAAGAGUAACGGAGGAGCACGAAGGUUGGCUAAGUACGGUCGGACAUCGUACGGUUAGUGUAAUGGUAGAAGCCAGCUUAACUGCGAGACAGACACGUCGAGCAGGUACGAAAGUAGGUCAUAGUGAUCCGGUGGUUCUGAAUGGAAGGGCCAUCGCUCAACGGAUAAAAGGUACUCCGGGGAUAACAGGCUGAUACCGCCCAAGAGUUCAUAUCGACGGCGGUGUUUGGCACCUCGAUGUCGGCUCAUCACAUCCUGGGGCUGAAGUCGGUCCCAAGGGUAUGGCUGUUCGCCAUUUAAAGUGGUACGCGAGCUGGGUUUAGAACGUCGUGAGACAGUUCGGUCCCUAUCUGCCGUGGGCGUUUGAGAAUUGAGAGGGGCUGCUCCUAGUACGAGAGGACCGGAGUGGACGAACCGCUGGUGUUCGGGUUGUCAUGCCAAUGGCAUUGCCCGGUAGCUACGUUCGGAAUCGAUAACCGCUGAAAGCAUCUAAGCGGGAAGCGAGCCUCGAGAUGAGUUCUCACUUUAACUUUAAGUUAACUGAAGGGCCGUUGAAGACUACAACGUUGAUAGGCGAGAUGUGGAAGUGGUGUGAGCCAUUGAGCUAACUCGUACUAAUUACCCGUGAGGCUUAACCAUACAACGCCAAAGUGGUUU
rnacentral:rRNA from 1 species